AGGAGAAAUGACGAUUUGUACCCACCUUUACUGCGAUCUUAUGAUGAUUUCUAUUACAUGCACUACCAUCUGAUCUCUC